rnacentral:tRNA from 1 species
GCCUGGGUGGUUCAGUGAGUUAAAUGUCUGACUUUGGCUUAGAUCAUGAUCUCACGGUUCGUGGGUUCUAGCCCCACCCUUGGGCU